CACAAAUAAUGAAAUGUUGCCAUGGCGUAUUUUCUUCUGUUUAAGCCAUUCUGUUGUUAAUUUACUUCUAUGCUUCGGGUUAUUCUCCUGUUGCAACACUCAUCUUCUGUUGAGCUUCAGCUGGUAGACAGAUGGCCUUAAGUUCUCCUGCAAAAUGUCUUGAUAAACUUGCGAAUUCAUUUUUCCUUCGAUGAUAGCAAUCCCUCCAGGCCCUUACGCAGCAAAGCAGCCCCAAACCAUGAUGCCCCCACCACCAUACUUCACAGUUGGGAUGAGGUUUUGAUGUUGGUGUACUGUGCCUCUUUUUCGCCACACAUAGUGUUGUGUGUUUCUUCCAAACAACUCAACUUUGGUUUCAUCUGUCCACAGAAUAUUUUGCCAGUACUGCUGUGGAACAUCCAGGUGCUCUUGUGCAAACUGUAAACGUGCAGCAAUGUUUUGUUUGGACAACAGUGGCUUCCUCUGUGGUAUCCUCCCAUGAAAUCCAUUCUUGUUUAGUGUUUUAGGUAUUGUAGAUUCACUAACAGGGAUGUUAGCAUUUGCACUCUAGGAUUCUUCUUCACCUUAUUGAGCAGUCUGUGCUGUGCUCUUGCAGUCAUCUUUACAGGACGGCCA